AGCAGCCGCGGUAAUUCCAGCUCCAAUAGCGUAUAUUAAAGUUGUUGCAGUUAAAAAGCUCGUAGUUGAAUUUCGAGAUCAAUUUGUUGGUCGUGCCUCGGUACGUACUGGCAAUUUUGAUUUCUCCCUUCUGAAGAACCAUGACGUCAUUAAUUUGGUGUCAUGGGGAAUCAGGACCGUUACUUUGAAAAAAUUAGAGUGUUUAAAGCAGGCUCGCGCUUGAAUACAUUAGCAUGGAAUAAUGAAAUAGGACGUUUGAUUCUAUUUUGUUGGUUUCUAGGAUCGACGUAAUGAUUAAUAGGGAUAGUUGGGGGCAUUAGUAUUCAAUUGUCAGAGGUGAAAUUCUUGGAUUUAUUGAAGACUAACUACUGCGAAAGCAUUUGCCAAGGAUGUUUUCAUUAAUCAAGAACGAAAGUUAGGGGAUCGAAGACGAUCAGAUACCGUCGUAGUCUUAACCAUAAACUAUGCCGACUAGGGAUCGGAUGAUGUUAAUUUUUAAUGACUCAUUCGGCGCCUUAAC
rnacentral:rRNA from 1 species